CUGGGUUCAGAACGUCGUGAGACAGUUCGGUCCCUAUCCGUCGUGGGCGCAGGAAAUUUGAGAGGAGCUGUCCUUAGUACGAGAGGACCGGGAUGGACGCACCGCUGGUGUACCAGUUGUCUUGCCAAAGGCAUCGCUGGGUAGCUAUGUGCGGAAGGGAUAAGUGCUGAAAGCAUCUAAGCAUGAAGCCCCCCUCGAGAUGAGAUUUCCCAUCACUUUAUGUGAGUAAGAUCCCUGAAAGAUGAUCAGGUAGAUAGGUCUGAGGUGGAAGCGUGGUGACACGUGCAGCUGACAGAUACUAAUCGAUCGAGGACUUAACCACAGU
rnacentral:rRNA from 1 species